rnacentral:rRNA from 1 species
AGAGUGCGUGUGGGUGUUGCUGCUCCAGGCAGGGCUCCUCGUGCAGACAGGGUGACAGCGUUCGAAAAGACCGUUCGGCAAUUUGCAGAGGAUCCAUGGGACAUUGUCAUAGUUCCAAAGAUAGGAACACGUUUCGACACUCUUGGUGAAGCCUACGACUUUUAAAAUUUAUAUUCGUGGGAGAAAGGAUUUGGCAUUAGAUAUGGAAAGAGCAGGCUGAAUGUGAACCGGACGAAGUGCAUGCAAGAGAUAGUGUGUGGAUGUGAGGGGAAGCCAAUCGUUGAAAAUACACGGUCUUGUCGCUGUCAAUGUCCGGCACUCAUAAGACUGUUGUGCUCCAAGGAUAAUGGGUGGUACAUAGCUGAGCAUCGGGAUAUGCACAACCAUGCAUUGUCGCACACGUAUGGACAGACACUGCACUGGCCAUCACACAAACAUAUUGAUCAGUACAGUAGGAACCUUGUGAAGCAGCUAAGUCAAAAUAAUGUCAAUCUUGCCAAGGUGUACAGCAUUAUCAGUAGCUUCUUUAGGAAGAUGGAGAAUGUACCUUUCACGAAGAGAGCUUUGCGGAAUCUGUGCGGAAAGAUAAGCUGUGAUCAGUCUGAGGAUGAUGUGAGGAAAACAAUGGAAGUAUUUCAAGAGCUGUGUGCAAAGGACCCGCAGUUUACAUAUCGAGUUCAAGCUGACAAUGAGGGCAGAAUCAGCACUCUGAUGUGGGCUACUGGCAACAGCCGGCUGCAAUACAGUUUCUUUGGUGAUGUUGUUACAUUUGAUACAGCCUACCGGAACCUCUAUGACAUGCCUUUUGGUUUAUUUGAGGGGAUGAACAAUCAUUUUCAGAGCAUUAUCCUUGCGGGAGUGUUGGUUCGAAGUGAGACAGUUGAAACAUUUGAGUGGGUAUUCUCUGAAUUUAUUAGGAUAAUGGGUGGCAAUGCACCACAAACAAUCCUGACAGGUAAUCAAAAAGUGAAUUGA